rnacentral:lncRNA from 1 species
AAUUCAAUCCACACUUAUUCCCCAGUACUCAUAUAUGGUAACAAAAAGGCCACUCAAUUGUUUUAAAAAUACUGACUCUGAGGGAUUUACUUCAAGAAACGUGGAUUCAACAAAUACUGAUAAAAUUUCUACAGGCUUCAGAUCCCGCAAUAGAAUAAAAUAAAGUUGGAUUGUUGUUGGAUUUAUUGUGUAUGGAGAUAACAGGAAUUACUAUAUACCUCAGAAACCAGCCUCAAUGCUGGAUACUCUGCCAGAAGAUCUUUCAACGUAGUGGGACUGGACACGACUUUGUUCCGUCGGUAUGGAUAUGUUAGCUCCAUUAGUUCUUUUAUUAAAGCGACGUUUCUGUUUUUGUUUUUCGCCAUUUCGCGUUUUAUGGCAGCGAGGUGGUCCUGGCACGUUUGCGUGGUCUCACCUUCCACCAACGCAAGCGGAGCAUCAUCGGCCACCUUGUUCUUCUUCGUUUGAACACCGAUCAUACAAACACCGCUCUGACUUUGAUAGCCUCUUUUGGUUUUUCUUAGGUUCUUAAACCCGUUCUUUAUCGACAUAUCCCAAGAUGACUAGAAACAAUGUGAAUAGAUAUGACACAGUGUAUGUUCGCAGUUGAUAGAAUAAACAUGGUUUGGACACCACCUAAAACUACAAUACAACUCAUUAUGUUGAGGUAGACUUAUGCAAAAGAUUGUUUCUUUCUCAUCACAUGUCUAUUGUAUUUUGCAGAGAUAAACCAAUAGCAAUCUUUAAUUAACAUAUUUUUCAAGUCAAGGUUGAGGAGCUCGGAAAGACGAAUGGCAUCAAUUUUGGUUAGUUUAGCUAAAAUACAAUAGACACGUGACGAGAAAGGAACCUUUUUUGCAUAAAGCUGGACAAUAACAUAGUUAAUGAGUUGUAUUGUACUUUUAUUUAGUCUCCAAACCAUAUAUAUCCAUCAACUAUGUUAUGAUAUAAGUAAUUAUUGGUAAGGCCGAACCCCUAUAGGUGAAACGCCGCUCUUCUCAUGCGCCGAACCUAAUGCAAAUGAGCUGGAACAAAACUUAUUUAUAUGCAUUAGGUUCGCCGCAUGAUAAGAACGACGUUUUUCCUAGGUCUAAGCUUGAAUGCAAUAUUUUUCACAAUCCUGUGGUUUGCAUUUUUUUCUGUUGAUCUUCCAGUUAGUGCAGUCCUGAGAAGGAUUUGGUCCCUUUUAAAAGGGAAUAGAAACGUCAGACAACACCAAUUUCAACAGUCAGUCCUUCUUAGAACUGUUUUUACCUGCAUGGUAGAUCAACAGAGCAAACAUGUGACGAUAAUCAUGCUUUAAGACCAUUCACUUUAUUGAAGCGUAAUUGGGGGAUUCCUAAAAACUUGGGAAUCGACCAUUCAAAAGUGACCUUUAGUCACUGAUCCAACAAUAAAGGAAACAAUAUGAUAUAUAAUAAUCUCCAUUCAAUAUACAUGCAGUAUAUAAGCGUAUAAUUUUUUUGCCAAACUUGUCAACGUUUUUUGUUUAAUCGAUUAUGCUUCUUUAGAAUUAUACCAAAAUCAAAGCAUUGCAUGAAGAAGUUAAGAAACCGGCUCAUGAUAAACUCAAAUUUUAGGUGUUUUACAAUACACAAGGCCGAAGCUGACCAACACAGUAUUUGGAUUCUUUUGCAACUGAUAGGAUGAAAUCCAUCUAUCAUUAUAUUGGAUCGUAUCUCCAGUCUUCUGGAAAGCUGGCCGCGGUACGAUGCCAUCUG